AUACGGAGGGUGCGAGCGUUGUUCGGAAUUAUUGGGCGUAAAGAGCAUGUAGGCGGUCUGUUAAUUCUGGUGUGAAAGCCCGGGGCUCAACCCCGGAAGUGCAUUGGAUACUGGCAGACUUGAGUAUGGGAGAGGAAAGCGGAAUUCCGAGUGUAGGAGUGAAAUCCGUAGAUAUUCGGAGGAACACCAGUGGCGAAGGCGGCUUUCUGGACCAAUACUGACGCUGAGAUGCGAAAGCGUGGGGAGCGAACAGGAUUAGAAACCCUAGUAGUCC
rnacentral:rRNA from 1 species